rnacentral:rRNA from 1 species
AUUGAACGCUGGCGGAAUGCUUUACACAUGCAAGUCGAACGGCAGCACGGACUUCGGUCUGGUGGCGAGUGGCGAACGGGUGAGUAAUGCAUCGGAACGUGCCCAAUCGUGGGGGAUAACGUAGCGAAAGUUACGCUAAUACCGCAUACGAUCUAAGGAUGAAAGCGGGGGAUCGCAAGACCUCGCGCGAAUGGAGCGGCCGAUGUGAGAUUAGGUAGUUGGUGGGGUAAAGGCUCACCAAGACGACGAUCUAGAGCUGGUCUGAGAGGAUGAUCCGCAACCCUGGGACUGAGACACGGCCCAGACUCCUACGGGAGGCAGCAGUGGGGAAUUUUGGACAAUGGGCGCAAGCCUGAUCCGGCCAUUCCGCGUGCAGGAUGAAGGCCCUCGGGUUGUAAACUGCUUUUGUACAGAACGAAAAGCUCUGGGUUAAUACCCUGGGGUCAUGACGGUACUGUAAGAAUAAGCACCGGCUAACUACGUGCCAGCCGCCGCCGUAAUAC